UACAGUUAUAUCACAUUGAAACCUCGGCUCCCGUACGAUCACCGAAGUUAAGCCACGUCGAGCCUGGUCAGUACUUACAUGGGUGACCGCUUGGGAAGACCAGGCGCUGUAAG